CGGAAUUACUGGGCGUAAAGCGCACGUAGGCGGAUCGAUCAGUCAGGGGUGAAAUCCCAGGGCUCAACCCUGGAACUGCCUUUGAUACUGUCGAUCUGGAGUAUGGAAGAGGUGAGUGGAAUUCCGAGUGUAGAGGUGAAAUUCGUAGAUAUUCGGAGGAACACCAGUGGCGAAGGCGGCUCAGUGGUCCAUUACUGACACUCAGGUGCGAAAGCGUGGGGAGCAAACAGGAUUAGAUACCCUGAUAGUCCACGCCGUACACCAUGAAGGUUAGCCGUCGGGCAGUGUACUGUGCGGUGGCGCAUCUUACGCAUUAGACAUUCCGCCUGGGGAGGACGGUCGCAUGAUUAGCACUCUCAGGAAUUGACAGGGGCCCGCACUAGCGGUGGAACAUGUGGUUUAAUUCGAAGCAACGCGCAGAACCUUACCAGCCCUUGACAUGCCCGGCUACUUGCACAGAUGCUAGGUUCCCUUCGGGGACCGGGACACAUGUGCUGCGUGGUUGUCGUCAUCUCGUGUCGAGCUAUGUUUGAUUCUGUCCCGCUACGAUAGCAACCAUCGCCCUUAAUUUCCAACUGUGAAUUGGACACUCUUAGAUGACUGCCGGUAAUCCGCCGACAAGAGCGUGUCGAUGACCUCUUGUUCUCACUGCCCUUACAGGCUGUGCUACACACGUGCUACUAUAUACCCUACUGUUCCCCGCCAUCACCCAUGUGUGAUCUACUCUCCGCAAGCCAUCUCUCUUCGGAUCGCACUCUGCAUCUCGCGUGCACGAAGUUGGAAUCGCUAGUAAUCGCGGAUCAGCAUGCCGCGGUUAAUACGUUCCCGGGCCUGGUACACACCACCCGUCACACCAUGGGAGUAGGUUUUACCCGAAGGUAGUGCGUUAACCGCAAGGAGGCAGCUAACCACGGUAGGGU
rnacentral:rRNA from 1 species